rnacentral:rRNA from 1 species
GACGAACGCUGGCGGCGUGCCUAACACAUGCAAGUCGAACGGAGUUAAGUGCUUCGGUAUUUAACUUAGUGGCGAACGGGUGAGUAACGCGUGAGAAACCCGCCUUUCAGUGGGGGACAACAGUUGGAAACGACUGCUAAUACCGCAUAAGACCACAGGAUCGCAUGAUCCGGUGGUAAAAACUCCGGUGGUAUGAGAUGGACCCGCGUCUGAUUAGCUAGUUGGUGGGGUAACGGCUCACCAAGGCGACGAUCGGUAGCCGGACUGAGAGGUUGAUCGGCCACAUUGGGACUGAGACACGGCCCAG